UGACCUCGGAUCAGGUAGGAA
rnacentral:rRNA from 1 species